ensembl:lncRNA
CCAUUAUUGAGAACACAACAAAACAGUUUGGUAAAGAGAAGCCUAUAGAGUCUGAACCUGUAACACAGGUACUCGAAAAAUCAAAGCUACCAAAGGCAACAGAACAAAAGGGUGAAGCAAUAGAUGGUGACCAGGCCCCAGCAAUGACAUCAUCAGAAAUGAAAGAAAUUGCAGUUACAGAAAAAAAAUAUACAAUGGCUGUUGCUCCCAAACCAGAAUCAGAAGGGUAUGAUUCAGAGCCGAUUAUGAUUGAAGUGGCUGCAAUCACAGUGCUCGCACAAAAUUAUACUGCUACAGAAAUAGAGGUUAGUAAUAUGAGCGAACAGAACAGUGAAGCAGAUAAAAAAGCUAAGCUAAAAUGUGAACCUCUUGAAAAGGUAACAGAAAAAAAGGCAAAUGAGUUGCAGGUAGACAAAACCGAAAUUAAAGAUGAAAUACCAGCAGUAAUGGAAAUAACCCCCAUUGCACAGGUAUCACCACUGACCUCUGAAGUUACAUCAGAAAUACCAGAAGUUGCUGUGUCUGAGAUACAAUCACAAGUAGAGAAUGAACUCCAGAAAAUUCCAGUGGUAACAGAAGUGAAAGUAGAGACAGCUGUAGGAACUGAACUGGAAGUGGAGACACCAGUUGCCACAUCAGUGGUUACAGAACUUGAAGUAGAAACACCAGAGGUUACACCUAUGGCAAAAACAACUGAUACUCUCAAUUCUGCUGUUGCGUCACAAAAUCAAAACAUAGAUACUGACACAUCAGUGUUGACAACAGUGAUCAAAGAACAAAUGUUGGAGAUUCCCACUGUUGUUUCUGUGGUAGUGACACCAGCUACACCUUUAGAUGAAACACCCGUUGUAACUCUAGGCAAUGAGUCAAAGGAUGUACCUCCAGUAAAAGACACACCUGCUGUGACUGAAGCAGUAGAAACACCAAAUGUUGGAUCAGUGAUUGUGAGGACUGCUGUGGCCCCAGUAGUAGAGAUACAGAACGUGAUUCCAGUGGUAGCAACACAAGAUCUUGGUUCAGUAAUAGUAACAGAAGCUGCAUCUCCAGUAAUAAGUACAGCAACAGUGACUACAGUAGCAGAAGCAACAGUUGUGAGCACAGUUGUAGAAAUGCCUGUUUUUUCUGUAACAGCAGUAAAAUCAACUCCAGCUGUGGUAGAGAAAACAGCUGUGUCACCUGUUGUAGAAAUCCCAGCUACAGUAACAUCUGUUGUGCAGACUCCAGCUGUUGUUUCAGUGGCAGAGACUGUACCUCCAGAAGAGGUUACACUAGAUGUGACCCCAUUUGCAGAAACAACUGUGAGCCAAGUAAUUGAAACUCCCAUUGUUUCCAUCACAUCAGUAAAGCCAACUGUACCUGCAGUGACAAAGACACCAGUCACUGAGAUACCAGCUAUGAUUUCAGUGACAGUAGCAGAAGCUGUAUCUCCUGUAGAAGUUACAUCGGCUGGAACUCCAGUACAACCAGAAACAAUUAUGAUACCAGAAGUAGAAACUUCAGUAGUAAUUUCAACUGUAGAGACAUCACUUGUGACACCAGUGGUACAAACACCAGCUCAGAUUUCAAUAAUUGCAACAGAUGCAGGACCUCCAGUUACACCACCAGCAACUGCAGCAUCAGAAACAUCAGCUGUGAUCCCAGCUGUAGAAACCCCUGUUAUAAAGUCAUCUCCAGUUGCAGUGGAUGAGAUGCCAGUUGUGACCCCAGAGGUACAGACACCAGGUCAGGUUUCAGUGAUGGUAACAGAGACUGCCCUUCCAGCAGUUGUUUCAGCAGAGACUGCAGCAGUAGAAACACCUGUUGCGAUCC